UUCGGGUGGUGAUAGGCACGGCGACCGUGUUCUCAUCAUAAAACAUGCCAAAACGCAGCCUGGGUCUUUAGCAAACACAAGCGAAGAAACAACAGUCCAGGUUCUCAGGGAUCUUUACGAUUUCUGUGGAACCUUGGUUCUGUUGCUCACCGGUUUCAUUGGGAGUCGAGAACCCCGAAACCAGGAUUUUGGAACCACAACUUGAGUUGCCAGGGUAAGUAAACACCCUAACUGGAUAUCAUCUCACAUCGAGCAGUGAUCCCUAACAAUUACCUGAGGAAGUUUAGGCCGCAUUCAGUAUGUUCUGCUCAAAAACAAUCCAGCCAAGAAUGGGCACUAAACUAAGAUGCUCCCUUUACUGACUGGGGUGUAAUAUGAAUGGGAACCUGCUGCUCCCCUGAACACACCCAGGCACAUGCAACCCGCCUCAGGGAGCUGCUGGACGAUGAAACUAGAGGCACUGACUUGCUUCACUCACAGACCUGAAGGAACUCUUCCAUCUGCUGACGGAGCUCAUCAUCCCGCCGGAUGUUUUCCUUCAGCGCCCGCGUCCUGACGGACAGCGAGUGCAGUUCUGCCUCCGUGUUAUCCAGAGACAAUCUGGAAGAAGAAGGGGGACAGCGGGCAGUUGGCAACGGGGAAUCAUGUGCCACGUGGGCACAUCAAACCAGUCUAACGGCUGGUCAAUCUUAAAAGCCGAAGGGCAGACACACCAGAAACUAAUACAAAACACGGAAGGUAAAGAAGAAAACACACACAAACUGAUGAUCACAUAUCCAUUUGAAUGCAGAAACAGUUAUAAGGGCCCAACUAUGUUCUACUAAGUGAAGACAUUAAAGAAAGUUGUAAAAAACACACAAACCAAAUUGAAGGGGAGGGA